CAUUGCCUGGAUUCUUUUUGUCACCACAAAUUAAGUUACUGUUUUUGCAUUAAUUCCGAUAGUAUAUACAGCACUGGCAUUAAUUACAUGUUGGCCCUCCCUCCUUUCACUUUCUUCUCUUUCUUGACACAUAUAGAUAUGGCUAGCUAAUAAAGUAUAGGUGUUGGACAGGACAUUAUAUUAUUGGUUUCAUUUGAAAAAUUGAGAGAGAGAGAGAGAGAGAGAGAGGGAGAGGGAGGGGUGAAAAAUGCAUGGAGCUGAGAGAAGAAGAUCAACAUCCUCAGGAGGAGGAGGUGAUCAUCAUCAUCAGGAUAAUCAUGAUGAUGAGUAUGAUGAAGAUGGAGAGUCGCCGUUUGAGGUUGAGGAUGAGGUGGAGCUUUCAACAACACCCUGGUGGUGGUGGUGGAAAAGGCGUUUCACUUUCAGCAAUACCGACUCCAGUCUUACAACUACUGGUUCUAGAUCAUCUGCUGCAUCUUCCUUUUUCGAUCGUCUCGUCAUUCAUCCUGAUAACUGGUGGUACGUGGCGUGGACGCAUUUCAUUCUAAUAUGGGCAGUCUACUCGUCCUUCUUCACCCCCUUGGAGUUCGGCUUCUUCAGAGGUCUGCCGGAGAAUCUCUUCCUGCUCGACAUCGCAGGCCAGCUCGCCUUUCUCAUCGACAUCGUCGUCCGCUUCUUCGUCGCCUACCGCGACUUCCACUCCCACCGACUUGUCUACAAUCGCAACCUCAUCGCCCUCCGCUACCUAAAGUCUCGCUUCCUCCUCGAUUUACUGGGUUGUCUGCCUUGGGACGCCAUCUACAAGGCUUCUGGAAAAGAAGAGGGUGUGAGGUACCUGUUGUGGAUACGUCUGAGCCGAGCAUGCCGAGUGACAGAGUUUUUUGAGAAGCUUGAGAAAGAUAUAAGGAUCAACUACCUUUUCACAAGAAUUGCCAAGCUUUUUGUUGUGGAACUUUACAGCACACAUACAGCUGCCUGCUUCUUUUAUUAUCUGGCCACAACCAUGCCUCCCUCCCAGGAGGGAUACACUUGGAUUGGAAGCUUGAAGAUGGGUGACUAUAGCUAUUCCCAUUUCCGAGAGAUUGACCUCUGGAAGCGUUACAUCACCUCACUCUAUUUUGCCGUUGUUACCAUGGCCACUGUUGGAUAUGGAGAGAUACAUGCAGUGAAUGUGAGGGAGAUGAUAUUCAUCAUGUUUUAUGUGUCUUUUGACAUGAUUCUUGGUGCUUAUCUGCUGGGUAACAUCGCUGCAUUGAUUGUGAAAGGAUCGAAAACAGAAAAGUUUAGGGACAAGAUGACUGAACUAAUCAAAUACAUGAACAAAAACAGGCUUGACAGGGGCAUAAGUAAGGAAAUUAAAAACCAUUUGAGGUUACAGUAUGACCGUAGCUACACCGAAGCCACUGUUCUUCAGGACAUUCCAGCCUCUAUUCGCAGCAAGAUUUCGCAGAAAUUAUAUGAGCCGUACAUCAAAGAAGUUCCUCUGUUUAAGGGGUGCUCUUUAGGCUUCAUAAAGCAGAUUGCAACCAGAAUUCACGAAGAGUUUUUCCUUCCACCAGAAGUUAUUAUAGAGCAGGGGCAAGCAGUUGAUCAACUAUACAUAGUAUGCCAUGGUGAGCUGGAGAAGUUGGGAAGGGAUGAAGAUAAUGAAACUGAAGAGCUCCUUGAGCGUCUGCAAACCUAUAGCUCAUUUGGUGAGGUUUCCUUUCUUUGUAACACUCCCCAGCCGUAUGCUGUUCGGGUUCGUCAACUGUGCAGGGUCUUGCGACUUGAUAAACAAUCCUUUAGAGAAAUCUUGGAGAUGCAUUUUUUAGAUGGGCGCAUUAUCCUAAACAACCUCAUUGAGGGAAAAGAUUUGAAUACCCGGAACAAGCUUUUGGAAUCAGAUAUCAUACUAUAUAUUGGAAAGCAUGAAAUGGAGUUAAUUAUGAAAGUAAAUUGUGCUGCCUAUGAUGGAGAUUACUAUCGAGUAAAGCGUUUGAUUGGAGCAGGAGCAGAUCCAAACAAGACGGAUUAUGAUGGAAGGUCGCCUUUGCUUGUUGCAGCAUCGAAAGGGUAUGAAGAUAUUAUUGGUUUCCUUAUUGAUCAAGGAGCAAAUGCUGAGAUUUCAGAUAAAUUUGGGAACACUCCGUUGCUUGAAGCCAUUAAAAAUGGGCACGAUCAAGUAGCUUCUUUACUUGUUAAGGCAGGGGCGUCGCUUACUAUUGAUGACGCUGGUGAAUUUCUCUGUAUUACGGUAGCAAGGAGGAGUUUGAACCUUCUGAAAAGGCUCUUAGCCAAUGACAUUAACCCAAAUGCAAAAAAUUAUGAUCAGCGAACAGCACUUCAUGUAGCUGCUUCAGAAGGCUUAUAUCCUAUGGCAGAGUUCCUUUUAGAAGCGGGAUCAAGUGUUCUAUCAAAAGACAGAUGGGGAAGAACUCCACUUGAUGAAGCCCGUAUAGGUGGAAAUAAGAAACUAAUCAAACUGCUUGAAGUUGCUAGAGCUUCGCAGUUGUAAGAGUUCUCUAAUCAAUAUCAUCAAGAAACUAACUAAGCAUUUCUCUGAUCAAUGUGUAUUAUCAGUAACGCAUUUAUACUUGAUUAAAUGAUGAAGUGUUAUAGGAAGUGGAACAAAAGUUCUAAGAUGUUGAUAUAUGUGUUGAGAAUUUUUGUUAGAAUCUUUAAUUACCCUUUCGAUUUUCUAA